CUACGGGACGCAGCAGUGGGGAAUAUUGGACAAUGGGGGAAACCCUGAUCCAGCAAUGCCGCGUGUGUGAAGAAGGCCUGCGGGUUGUAAAGCACUUUCGGUUGGGAGGACUGCUUCUAGCACUAAUAUUGUUGGAAGUUGACGUUACCUUCAGAAGAAGCACCGGCUAACUCCGUGCCAGCAGCCGCGGUAAUACGGGAGGGUGCAAGCGUUAAUCGGAAUUACUGGGCGUAAAGCGCGCGUAGGCGGCUAGAUCAGUCGGGUGUGAAAGCCCCGGGCUUAACCUGGGAACUGCAUCCGAUACUGUCUAGCUUGAGUACAGGAGAGGAGAGUGGAAUUCCACAUGUAGCGGUGAAAUGCGUAGAUAUGUGGAGGAACACCAGUGGCGAAGGCAGCUCUCUGGCCUGAUACUGACGCUGAGGUGCGAAAGCGUGGGGAGCAAACAGGAUUAGAUACCCCGGUAGUC
rnacentral:rRNA from 1 species